UGGAGGGGCAGGUCGCUAAGAGGCCCCGUCCACUAACCUCGGCGCGGGCUCGCGGCGCCCGACACUAGAACGAGAUUUAAAGCGCCCCGGAGAUUCCUGGGAGUGCUCGGCUGUCCUACUGAGCAGGCGUCCGUCGCUCUCGGCUGGGGUGGUUGGGGCCUGAGACCAGCGGUAGAUGAGUCGUACUGGGGUCUGACGGGACCCCGAACAGGAGCUACCCGCCAGCUUGGCAGGUGCCGGGGAGGAGCCAAGACGGUGCGGGGACCCUCUAAAAACAUAUGGCUUAUGUAUUUAUAUUUUAAUUUUUUAAUUCAAAAGAAAAUGGAGACUUUGAAGGUUUUGGAAGAAGAAAAUGAGCCAAGGACUCCAAACUCGGUGAAAGCACAGAGAAUCCAGAACAACUUGACCCUUAGAAGGACUGCAGAGAGAAAGGAAUACUCAAGCAACAAUUUUUCGUAGGCCUAAGACAUUUAUUUCUCACAGGCUGGGAAUUCCAAGAUCAUGGUACAGGCAGAUUUAGUUCCUGGUGAGAGCCCCUUCCAGGUUUACAGAUGGUGGCUGUUCCUCACAUGGCAGAGAGAAGGCAUAUAUUUUUAGGUUCUUUAAUGGAAAGUUCUGUUCUCCUUACCUCUUUUGUGUUUUGCCGUAACAUUUUUGAAGCAUUAAAGAGUCUAGAACAUUU